AACGAACGCUGGCGGCAUGCCUAACACAUGCAAGUCGAACGAGACCUUCGGGUCUAGUGGCGCACGGGUGCGUAACGCGUGGGAACCUGCCUUUAGGUUCGGAAUAACUCAGAGAAAUUUGAGCUAAUACCGGAUGAUGUCUUCGGACCAAAGAUUUAUCGCCUUUAGAUGGGCCCGCGUUGGAUUAGCUAGUUGGUGGGGUAAAGGCCUACCAAGGCGACGAUCCAUAGCUGGUCUGAGAGGAUGAUCAGCCACACUGGGACUGACACACGGCCCAGACUCCUACGGGAGGCAGCAGUGGGGAAUAUUGGACAAUGGGCGAAAGCCUGAUCCAGCAAUGCCGCGUGAGUGAUGAAGGCCUUAGGGUUGUAAAGCUCUUUUACCCGAGAUGAUAAUGACAGUAUCGGGAGAAUAAGCUCCGGCUAACUCCGUG
rnacentral:rRNA from 1 species